rnacentral:rRNA from 1 species
UACGGAGGGUGCAAGCGUUAAUCGGAAUUACUGGGCGUAAAGCGCGCGCAGGUGGCUGAGUCAGUCGAUUGUGAAAGCCCUGGGCUUAACCUGGGAAUUGCAGUCGAUACUACUUAGCUAGAGUAUGGGAGAGGGCAGUGGAAUUCCCGGUGUAGCGGUGAAAUGCGUAGAUAUCGGGAGGAACAUCAGUGGCGAAGGCGGCUGCCUGGCCCAAUACUGACACUCAGGUGCGACAGCGUGGGGAGCAAACAGG